ACGGCUCAGUAACACGUAGUCAACAUAACCAAAGGACGUGGAUAAACUCGGGAAACUGAGGCUAAACCGCGAUAGAUCAAGACACCUGGAAUGGUUUUUGAUCAAAAUCUAUAUGGCCUUUGGAUUGGACUGCGUCCGAUCAGGCUGUUGGUGAGGUAAUGGCCCACCAAACCUGUAACCGGUACGGGCUCUGAGAGGAGAAGCCCGGAGAUGGGCACUGAGACAAGGGCCCAGGCCCUAUGGGGCGCAGCAGGCGCGAAACCUUUGCAAUAGGCGAAAGCCUGACAAGGUUACUCUGAGUGAUCUCCGCUAAGGAAAUCUUUUGACACCUCUAAAAAUGGUGUAGAAUAAGGGGUGGGCAAGCCUGGUGUCAGCCGCCGCGGUAAUACCAGCACCCCGAGUGGUCGGGACGAUUAUUGGGCCUAAAGCAUCCGUAGCUGGCUAAGUUAGUCCCUUGUUAAAUCCACCGAAUUAAUCGUUGGAUCGCGGGGGAUACUGCUUGGCUAGGGGACGAGAGAGGCAGACGGUAUUUUCGGGGUAGGGGUGAAAUCCUAUAAUCCCGGGAAGACCACCAGUGGCGAAGGCUGUCUGCUAGAACGCGCCCGACGGUGAGGGAUGAAAGCUGGGGGAGCGAACCGGAUUAGAUACCCGGGUAGUCCCAGCUGUAAACGAUGCAGACUAGGUGUUUGGACGGCCACGUGCUCGUUCUAGUGCCGCACGGAAGCUGUUAAGUCUGCCGCCUGGGGAGUACGAUCGCAGAAUGAAACUUAAAGGAUUUGGCGGGGGAG
rnacentral:rRNA from 1 species